GAGGGGCCGGCCGCCGCGCAGACCCGCCUCCCGCGGCGCCCCCGCCCCAACGUCAGGGCCCGGCGUUCGGGGGAAACGGGCAGGAGAGGGGCGCACCCGGCCGGGCGCGGGGCCGUGGCGCCGCGCCCACCCCUCCGCUGCGCGACCCUCGCCCCGUGACCCUGCCUUUGACUGCCGGGCGGGGGGGGCGCUGCGAUCCCGGUCCAGGAGGCACACGUGUCUGCGGGCCGGUUCUCGGCGACGCGGACACCCCCUGGGACCCAAGUUUGCAGCCACCAGGAGCCUCUGCGUGCCAAGUCCCAGCACAGUGAGGAGAGAAGUGAAUGAAAGUUCCCAAAAGAGGAAAAGAUAACGAGAUGUGAAACACCCAGGAUGGAGCUGCUGGGCCAAGCGUGUGAUGAAGAGGAGUUUCACAAGGUUUGUGUUCCUCCCAGGAGACCUGUUUCCAUGGUUCUUAGCCAGGAGGUCCUGUCCCUCUUGUUUCACCCUGAACAUCAAUGCGUUAAGAGCAGACUUGUCUUUCCAAGAGAAGAGCAAAUAAUCUUGCUGAGGAAGAGCAUUCAUAUCCCUCUGAGGACAGGCAUGCAUGCUGAUCUGUACUCCUGCUUUGGGGUCCUCAAACUUAGUUCUGGAAAGAGUUUAGGACAUGGAUUUGGAUCAGCCUGUUUUGGAUGGGAGGGCAAUUUGGCAAAAUGUAGAAAUUUUAAGUAAAUCACAUUCAAUCCACAAUUCUACUUCUAGGAAUUUAUCAUCAGAAAAUAAUGUGCAGAAAUAGCUAUAUAUGAAUAUUCAAAGAUGUUCAGCAUGAUGUUAUGUAUAGUAUAAAAAAAUCGAGGCAACU
rnacentral:lncRNA from 1 species